GACGAACGCUGGCGGCGUGCUUAACACAUGCAAGUCGAACGGAAAGGCCCUGCUUUUGUGGGGUGCUCGAGUGGCGAACGGGUGAGUAACACGUGAGUAACCUGCCCUUGACUUUGGGAUAACUUCAGGAAACUGGGGCUAAUACCGGAUAGGAGCUCCUGCUGCAUGGUGGGGGUUGGAAAGUUUCGGCGGUUGGGGAUGGACUCGCGGCUUAUCAGCUUGUUGGUGGGGUAGUGGCUUACCAAGGCUUUGACGGGUAGCCGGCCUGAGAGGGUGACCGGCCACAUUGGCACUGAGAUGCGGCCCAGACGCCUACGGGCGGCAGCAGUGGGGACUAUUGCACAAUGGGCGGAAGCCUGAUGCAGCAACGCCGCGUGCGGGAUGACGGCCUUCGGGUUGUAAACCGCUUUCGCCUGUGACGAAGCGUGAGUGACGGUACUGGGUAAAGAAGCACCGGCUAACUCCGU
rnacentral:rRNA from 1 species